GUUUGGCGUGUCCCAGUCCAGCCACAACCAGCCAACGUAGAGCAGCGCCGCCACCCACCAGGCAGAGAAAGACAGGAGGAUGAAGGUGGCCAGACAGCAUUGGGCUGAGGGACAGACAGAGCAGAUUGGAAAAAAUUGGUAAAGUGACGUCUACUAGCAGUCCGAUCCUUGGACAGCAGAUGGCGAGCAAGGUAAAACAGCUCAUAGGUCAGCACGCACAAGCCAAAGAAGACCACGAAGAAUGCAAACGCGGGACUCGGCCACAGUUUACUGUUACAGAUACAGACUCGUCAUACACAGACCCGAUGGGAGACAUCUUGACCCAGGACAGUUAGUGGACAGGGAUGUCAGUCCUUGUGAACUUGGACAAGCGUCUGGGCCCCACGUGGAUCUGAUUAUGCCUGGAACCACAUGAACAGAUGAAUGUCUGGGCCAGAACUACCAUAUCAGCAGGCCAGUGUCCAGGAGCCUCCUGCAGGAGGCAUGUUCCGGGGCAGCCAAUCCACAUUUGGGGAAAGAUCCGCAACGGACUCUUUUGAGCUUGGGUUUUACUUCUUAAGAUCCUUAACCCACAUGGUCAUGAAGGCUGCUUAUGAAAUGUUAACAUUUAUUAUAUCUUAGAGUUUGGAACUGAGCCCUGAAAAUUCAGACGCAAUAAAUCUCCCUUUCAAUAAAUUAAAACAUUUACACAAAAUUAACACAAACUCAUCUUCUAACAUUUUCCUUGUGAAUUAACGUCUUUCAGAUAUUUUGAUUUUGAAAAAAUGCAUAAGAGGUCCGAGGACACUGGGGUUUAUGUCACUUUGCAGCCUGUAAAAAUACCAAUUACUACUUUCCUAUUAGAGAUUGAUCAUGGUUUUGACUCGGUGAAAUAUACGUUACCAUUCCAGA